ACGAACGCUGGCGGCGUGCUUAACACAUGCAAGUCGAACGGUGAAGGGGAGCUUGCUCCUUGGAUCAGUGGCGAACGGGUGAGUAACACGUGAGUAACCUGCCCUUGACUCUGGGAUAAGCGUUGGAAACGACGUCUAAUACCGGAUACGACCUUCGGAGGCAUCUCCUGGGGGUGGAAAGAAUUUUGGUCAAGGAUGGACUCGCGGCCUAUCAGGUAGUUGGUGAGGUAAUGGCUCACCAAGCCGACGACGGGUAGCCG
rnacentral:rRNA from 2 species